GCAAACGGGAUUAGAUACCCUGGUAGUCCACGCUGUAAACGAUGUCGAUUUGGAGGUUGUGCCCUUGAGGCGUGGCUUCCGGAGCUAACGCGUUAAAUCGACCGCCUGGGGAGUACGGCCGCAAGGUUAAAACUCAAAUGAAUUGACGGGGGCCCGCACAAGCGGUGGAGCAUGUGGUUUAAUUCGAUGCAACGCGAAGAACCUUACCUACUCUUGACAUCCAGAGAACUUAGCAGAGAUGCUUUGGUGCCUUCGGGAACUCUGAGACAGGUGCUGCAUGGCUGUCGUCAGCUCGUGUUGUGAAAUGUUGGGUUAAGUCCCGCAACGAGCGCAACCCUUAUCCUUUGUUGCCAGCGGUUCGGCCGGGAACUCAAAGGAGACUGCCAGUGAUAAACUGGAGGAAGGUGGGGAUGACGUCAAGUCAUCAUGGCCCUUACGAGUAGGGCUACACACGUGCUACAAUGGCAUAUACAAAGAGAAGCGACCUCGCGAGAGCAAGCGGACCUCAUAAAGUAUGUCGUAGUCCGGAUUGGAGUCUGCAACUCGACUCCAUGAAGUCGGAAUCGCUAGUAAUCGUAGAUCAGAAUGCUACGGUGAAUACGUUCCCGGGCCUUGUACACACCGCCCGUCACACCAUGGGAGUGGGUUGCAAAAGAAGUAGGUAGCUUAACCUUCGGGAGGGCGCUUACCACUUUGUGAUU
rnacentral:rRNA from 1 species